AUACGUAGGUGACAAGCGUUAUCCGGAUUUACUGGGCGUAAAGGGCGUGUAGGCGGCGGUGUAAGUCUGGAGUGAAAGUCCCGCAUUCAAGGUGGGAAUAGCUUUGGAUACUGGAUGACUUGAGUGCGGAAGAGGUAAGUGGAAUUCCCAGUGUAGCGGUGAAAUGCGUAGAGAUUGGGAGGAACACCAGUGGCGAAGGCGACUUACUGGGCCGUAACUGACGCUGAGGCGCGAAAGCGUGGGGAGCGAACAGGAUUAGAUACCCUGGUAGUCCACGCGGUAAACGAUGAAUGCUAGGUGUUGCGGGUAUCGACCCCUGCAGUGCCGGAGUAAACACAAUAAGCAUUCCGCCUGGGGAGUACGGCCGCAAGGUUGAAACUCAAAUGAAUUGGCGGGG
rnacentral:rRNA from 1 species